rnacentral:ncRNA from 1 species
UCACAUCUCUCGGGGUGCGAAGUUCUUUUUUCAAAAAGAACAGAGCUGAGACUGCGCAAGCUAAACCCGUUGAACUUGAACUGGUUAAGACCAGCGUAGGGAAGAGAACUCCAAGUCAA